GCGCCGUUGGUCUAGUGGUAUGAUUCUCGCUUAGGGCUACACCCUGAAGCAUUGCUUGCGAGAGGUCCCGGGUUCAAUCCCCGGAUGGCGCC
rnacentral:tRNA from 1 species